GAAGAGAAGAGAAGAGAAGAGAAGAGAAGAGAAGAGAAGAGAAGAGAAGAGAAUGAUCCUGUUUGGCCAGAAAAAUGAUCUGUUAUUUCACUUCUAGGUUUCUUCAGUUUCUAUGUACCACACAAAGUGAAUUUCCACUCUUAACCAUGCAGGCAUAGGUGUGCACCAACACAAUGAAACACCAGCUAAACAGGAAUAGUAAAUUAUUAAAAGUAUAUUUCUUCAAAAUAUUUGACUAUGGAGAAGAUGUAGUGUGUGGGUGUGAGAAGAUCAUUGGAUUUAACUCUAUUUUUUCACUUCAGUGCCAUUGUGAGAAAGUUUAAAGAAUUUCUGCUCUGUGCAUAAGUGAAAGGAAGAGGAUGAAUCCUGGUUUCUUCACAGAAACAGUCUACUGAAGUUAUCUGGACUACUUGACUACUUAAAACCAUUAUCUGGACUCAUACCAGAGCAUUACAGGUGAUGUUCCAAGGAAUACAUAAUAUGUUUUGUUUGUGUAAGCAAGAGACUGCAGGACCUGGAUACUUUACUGACCAAGGUUAAUUUUGAGAAAUGUAAAUGAGAAUCAGCUGCUGUGGGAUUUUCAGUAUCUAAUAAUUUACUUCAUUUACAGUGCUCUUUAUAGUUAUUUCAUGCUCCACAGUGUUUAUUAUAAAGCUAGCUUAUAUUUUUCCCAUGAAGACUACACUGCUCAGAGAAAAUAUCUUUGAAAACACAUGUUGUUACAUAAGAGCCUGUUUGUGGGAACUUCGGGGAAUUUGUGCUGACUUGCUUAAUCAUCCUCUGGAGAGCAACAACCCCUACUUCCUGUCUGCUUCUAUUACUUGUUGCUGUGCCUUAAAAAGAGAGUGCAACCAGGAAGAAAACAUUUCUAAACCAACAGAAAACACU